rnacentral:snRNA from 1 species
AUCCUAUAAACUUUAUCCAACAG